GACGGAUGGAGCAAGCGUUGUUCGGAAUCAUUGGGCAUAAAGCGCAUGUAGGCGGCUUUGUAAGUCGGGUGUGAAAUCCUCCGGCCCACCCGGAGAACUGCAUUCGAUACUGCAAGGCUUGAGUGAAGAAGAGGAGAGAGGAACUCCUGGUGGAGCGGUAAAAUGCGUAGAUAUCAGGAGGAACGCCGGUGGAGAAGUCGUCUCUCUGGUCUUUUACUGACGCUGAGAUGCGAAAGCUAGGGGAG
rnacentral:rRNA from 1 species